UCUCUCUCUCUCUCAAUAUAAUAGAAGAUACGAUACAGUUUUUUUCAAGAAAACUAUUAAUGAGAGACUCUUAAUGAAUAAUACCGGGAUAGCAUGGAUGAUAAUGGUGGAUGAAGACCUAGCAUAGUCAUGACUGGGGCUAUGAUAGCAGUGGUGGAGUUC